UUGCUCUUUCCGGAAUUGAGUGGCAAACGGGUGAGUAACACGUAAACAACCUGCCUUCAGGAUGGGGACAACAGACGGAAACGACUGCUAAUACCGAAUAAGUUCCAAGAGCCGCAUGGCCCAUGGAAGAAAAGGUGGCCUCUACCUGUAAGCUAUCGCCUGAAGAGGGGUUUGCGUCUGAUUAGCUGGUUGGAGGGGUAACGGCCCACCAAGUCAGCGAUGGGUAGCCGACCUGAGAGGGUGAUCGGCCACACUGGGACUGAGACACGGUCCAGACUCC
rnacentral:rRNA from 1 species